AUACGAAGGGUGCAAGCGUUAAUCGGAAUUACUGGGCGUAAAGCGCGCGUAGGUGGUUUUGUAAGUUGGAGGUGAAAGCCCCGGGCUCAACCUGGGAAUUGCCUCCAAAACUGCAUGACUAGAGUACGGUAGAGGGUAGUGGAAUUUCCUGUGUAGCGGUGAAAUGCGUAGAUAUAGGAAGGAACACCAGUGGCGAAGGCGACUACCUGGGCGGAUACUGACACUGAGGGGCGAAAGCGUGGGGAGCAAACAGGAUUAGAUACCCUGGUAGCCCACGCCGUAAACGAUGUCAACUAGCCGUUGGGACCCUUGAGAUCUUAGUGGCGCAGCUAACGCAUUAAGUUGACCGCCUGGGGAGUACGGCCGCAAGGUUAAAACUCAAAUGAAUUGACGGGG
rnacentral:rRNA from 1 species